AAAAAAAAAAACUUUGACAACCCUACUUUCAGCACUGUUCCGGCUGGCGCAAUUUUAAAGCACGCAAUGAAGUUUAAAACCGGCGUCAAGCAAAUAACAACAUGAGGCUUUUCAAUGGGAGUGUCAUGUCUGAGAGGAGCGACUGUUGCCUCAAACACGAGGAGCGGUCGCGUCCAUCUUCUUCUUUUCUGCCUGCUUCAAAACAUCAAACGGAUCGUCUUCAUCAUCAAAUAGCUGGUCGAACCGAUUGGUUACGACACAGCCGAAACCUUCUUGCAGAUGUCCGGGCAUGAUGGCCCCCUUUCAGCAGGAUUCUCCUCCGAUUCUACGGGGCCUGAGCGAGCACUUCGCUGCUAGAUGCCACAAGAUGGCUGGAAAAGACUCGAGCUUCUCUUCCGGCGUAAAAGACAUCCGGGACUCUGACCGCAAAGUCGUGUGGGACAUGUAGUCACACAACAUACUCCAGAAAGAGAGAGAGAGUGAAUUAUUAGAUGCAAAGCUUGAAUUCUCUGGACGUUUUUUAUUUAUAGAUCUUCAGAAAUGUCUGAAUAGGGUAGGCUUAAGUAGGGUAGAUUGAUGAUGUUAUUGUUAUAGGAUUUGUCGACCAGGUGAACAAUGUAAUUAUAUGAUCACAUAAAAAUUAUCUUGUAAACUUUUUUUUAUUACUUUCAUCUUUUAUUUACUACUUUCAAAUUAUUUUUAUGUAGCCUGUGCAGUUUUAUUGUUUCACCCUUUUCCCCAGACCCAGACUGUUAAUCUUAAAAUAGUUCACCCAAAACUAUUUUUUUAUUUUUUUUAUUUUAUUUUAUUUUUUUAAACCUGUCAUCAUUUACUCACCUUUAUGUCAUUAUAAACCUGUCAAACAGUUUUGGCUACCAUUGACUUCCAUUGUAUGGGGACAUUUUUCUUAGAAUUCUUUUACACAGGAGUCAUACAGGUUUGGGUGGGUUGUGUAAGGGUGUGUUCACACUUGGCAAGUUUGGUUCGAUUUAAACAUUGGUGCGAUUACUCUGUUGGAGCGGUUUAUUUUUAAUAAGUGCGCACCUAACAAGCAUCCAAAUUAACUUUUGAUUCGGUUUGACAGAAAUAAGAGAACACAGACCAAAAACCAAUAAUGAACAAUUUGUCUCUAAACCCCUGAUGUGUGGAGAAAAAAUCUAAGUAGCUAAUUAUAACUUGUGAACAGAGUAAUUCAUUGUGUGUCAUGCAAGAUAUUCAAAAAGUAUUUACAAGUUAAUUAAUUUACUUAGUUUAGCUCUGAAAUCAUCCUUAUAGCAAGCAAAACAACAAAGUCAAUUGAUAAAAUAGGCCUAACAGUUACACCAAUAAC
ensembl:lncRNA